UUUCAGAAAGUUUUAAAACUUUCCUUUACUUUCAAACUCCAUUUUUUUUUAAUCAGAUUUCUAGUUAAGGGCAAGCAUCAGCUAUGGGGGCAGAGCAAAAAAAGACCAGAUUGAAAUGAAUGACUGAAUGCUAGAUUUACAAUAGAACACUUACAAAAACCCACAAAGGAAAUCCAUUUAUUUAGUAGCAAAGUUGAUCAAUUGGAAAUUACUAAAUGUGGUAUUCAAAACUGCCUGUCCAACAUGAAUUGAAACCCCAUUUUUAUAUGCAUUACAUUCACUUAUUUUUUUUUCCCUCUGGAUUUUUGCUUCACUCAUGAACAAAAUUAUUAAAAAUAGAUUUACACUAGAAAAAUUAUUUUGGUGCUCAAUCCUGCCUGCAUUCUACCAGAAAAAUCUCUACUGUGGUUUUAGAGAAAGGAAAUGUAAAAUAAUUUAAAUGGAAUCUUAAAAAGCAUUAACCUAUUUUCAGGUAGAACUUGCAUUUGAACAUCAAGGUGCUUUACAAAACAAAUAUGCUUUACAAAACUAACACCAUUUUGUAGACUAUUAGCAAUGAUGUGUUGUUUUGUUUUUUGUACUUCAUUAUUACCAGUGCUCAAGCUGCUUCAGCGGGAAGCCUCAAAAUGUGCGAUUGCCCCCAGACUCCCCCUACUCCAAACCUGUAGGCCUGUUAUGCACAGACUUCAGCUGAGGGCAAUGAGGUUUUUGUCUUUAUGAAGACUGCAGAACCUGCUCACAUGUCCUGUCUCUGGUUCCUGGAUUACCACUGCAACUUUUGCAUCUGAAGCUUAGCCUGAGUGCCAGAAAGACUGCUCAGAGGCAGCAAAAGGAUAGCUAUGAAGGUGGAGACCUCUCAGGGCCUUGGUGAUGAAGAGAAGCUUAUGACCAUGCUUUUGACUGCUCAGACUCCACUCCUGGCAGCCAGUCCCACUGUAAGCAUGUUGCCUUUUCAGGUU